rnacentral:rRNA from 1 species
UACGAAGGGUGCAAGCGUUACUCGGAAUUACUGGGCGUAAAGCGUGCGUAGGUGGUUUGUUAAGUCUGUUGUGAAAGCCCCGGGCUCAACCUGGGAAUGGCAAUGGAUACUGGCAAGCUAGAGUGCGGUAGAGGGUAGUGGAAUUCCGGGUGUAGCGGUGGAAUGCGUAGAGAUCCGGAAGAACACCGGUGGCGAAGGCGGCCCGCUGGGCAGGAAGGCUCGCAAGAGCCGGCUGACGCUGAGGCGCGACAGCGUGGGGAGCAAACAGG